UAUAACGGUCCUAAGGUAGCGAAAUUCCUUGUCGGGUAAGUUCCGACCCGCACGAAAGGCGUAACGAUUUGGGCACUGUCUCAACGAGAGACUCGGUGAAAUUUUAGUACCUGUGAAGAUGCAGGUUUCCCGCGACAGGACGGAAAGACCCCAUGGAGCUUUACUGUAGUUUGAUAUUGAGUGUCUGUACCGCAUGUACAGGAUAGGUAGGAGCCGUAGAAAUCGGAACGCUAGUUUCGAUGGAGGCGCUGGUGG
rnacentral:rRNA from 1 species